rnacentral:lncRNA from 1 species
GGAGAACACUAUGGAAGAGUGUGAAUUCCAGGAGGUGUGGAUCAUUGGAAGCCAUCUUGAAGGCUAGCUAUCAUAAAAACAAAGAAGAUGGGCCACACCUAGCCAGUUUUCUAUAGAUCUUUCUCUCCAGGACCCUGUGUCUCAUUACAGAGAUAAAUACUGGCCUCUCCUUGGUUUCCAUGGAGAGGAAAAUCCACUGGUACAGUUAGAAAUUCUACACAUAGCAAAAAAAAAAAAGAAAAGAAAAAGAAAAGUUCCUAAUGGGAAUACUAGCCUAGAUAACAGUGUUUUCCUCAGUGGACCCCUUCUGCAAAGGAGACACUGCUUGUGAAAUACUUGUCUCUGGCAAGAGACAGUGGAAUGUGGAACUCGGAACUCAAUGUGGGAACAAAGAAAUUUUAAAUGGUGUCCUUUUGCCUUCUUCCUUCAACUAGACUUUAAAGAGCUAUGUCUGUAUUGUUCACUAUUAUAUCUUGUGUGGGCUGGACAGUGCUAAGUGCUGUCAUUUAAGGAACCCCAGGUGCAAAGGCUUGGCCUCCCCCAAUCCCACACUGUCAUCUGUCCACCUCCCACACUCACCAAUUGAUGUACACUGUGAAGAUUUCCUGAGCUAGAGCCUGAAGUCAAAGGUAUUUGUGGAUUCCCCCUGGAGACUAUCCCAUCCUAAGGAUGAUGAAAGGAUUAAGGAGAAACCAUCUUGAAAGGAUACCAAUAGGUUUCAGCAGAACUGCCUCCGAAAAACACCAAGUCUGCGUUUCUGCACAAAAUCCGUGGGCAUUUGCCCGCCUGCUUUGUCCUUCCUCUAUUGCUCCCAAUUUCCCUCUCUUGGCCUCCACCCCCACUUCCCCCACCCCACCCCAGAGGGCUGGUUCCAAUUGCAAAGCCAUUCCUGCAACAAUCUCUGGCAACUGGAGUGAAAGGUGCCGACAAAGAGGCCCUCUCCACAGCUCCCUUUUCACAAGAAGCAUGUAUC